AUGGUUGCCAUGGUGGUAGCGAGACAAUUAAAAUGGCUUUAUAACCAGCUGAAGGUGCUGACUGUUUCCUGGAUACCAUACAUCCCAAUCAAUCUCAGCCCUGACAGACCUUGGAGCAAAGCCAGGUCCAAUGACAGCAAUUGGUGGCGUUUAAUACUUUUUUUCUUUUUUUUUCCCUUCUUCAGCCCUCUAAAGUUAGCUUUCCUGCAUGGGUUUGAAGUUGCAGUUCAAGGCAUGCCAUUCACCUCCUCCCUUCCCACUCUCCAGCACCCUUCGGGAGGAGGCGAUCUCACGGGGCACCUCCCCAGGCCGACCCCUACAGCAAAUGCCCGGGCAGGAGAAGUUGGAGAGAAUGAAGCAGCACUCAGUAGAUGGGGGACAUUACCUGGGUACAAACUCCAAAUAGGUCUUGUCUGGAGAGGCUGUGGGCAUGCCAGAACUAGCUGGAUGCUGGUACCUUUUCUCACGGCUGCAGGAGUGGGAGCAGAAUUUCAGCAAAUUAGAGCUGAAGACCCAUAAAUUCAAGGCUUAACAGACUUCUUAACAGACUUUCCAAGUACACCUUUCUGACCCCACAGUUUGCAAUAACAUCCUGGGGAUGUUAGAAAUACAUAGGAAGGACUAGGUCCAGAGCCUGGCCUCAGAUUUGGUCUGCUGAACCUAACAAUACUCCCAUUAAAUAUUCAAGAUUUGAAGAGUGUACCUGUUGGGCUGAAACUUUGCUAGAAAGUUUCUGGCCAGCCACAGUGUGAAAUGAGCCUUCGUGAUCCCUGGAGACCGAACAGCCUCACUGCAAAGCCACCCAGCACCCAUCCACAGAGAUUUCCUAUGGGUCCAUUGUGCCAGCAAAUGAAAGGCCCCAGGUGCAGGCCACCAUCCCUUGCUGUUUAAUCAUCUUGCUGCCUGGCCUGGCCCUGGCUGGUGGCAGCUAGUGCCCUGACAUUCAGUGCCAGGGCACGGCCUGGAGGGCAGCGAGCCCCGAGGAACGGUCCCAAACCAGGCCUUGGCUCAUCCUCCCGACUCACUCCUCCACUCGUGCCGUGCUUCUUCCACACUUCAGCGCAUUCAUACACGCCCUCAUUUGCACUCUGAAAAAUAUCACCCUGAUCAACUGCAAUGCAUUUGUAGCUCGUUUGAACAGGAAAAAAAAUAAAUAAAU
rnacentral:lncRNA from 1 species